UGGGGAAUAUUGGACAAUGGGCGAAAGCCUGAUCCAGCCAUGCCGCGUGUGUGAAGAAGGUCUUCGGAUUGUAAAGCACUUUAAGUUGGGAGGAAGGGCAGUUACCUAAUACGUGAUUGUUUUGACGUUACCGACAGAAUAAGCACCGGCUAACUCUGUGCCAGCAGCCGCGGUAAUACAGAGGGUGCAAGCGUUAAUCGGAAUUACUGGGCGUAAAGCGCGCGUAGGUGGUUUGUUAAGUUGGAUGUGAAAUCCCCGGGCUCAACCUGGGAACUGCAUUCAAAACUGACUGACUAGAGUAUGGUAGAGGGUGGUGGAAUUUCCUGUGUAGCGGUGAAAUGCGUAGAUAUAGGAAGGAACACCAGUGGCGAAGGCGACCACCUGGACUGAUACUGACACUGAGGUGCGAAAGCGUGGGGAGCAAACAGGAUUAGAUACCCCUGUAGUCCCUGAGCGGGCUGGCAAGGCGCAU
rnacentral:rRNA from 1 species